UGAAGAACGUAGCGAAAUGCGAUACUUGGUGUGAAUUGCAGAAUCCCGUGAACCAUCGAGUCUUUGAACGCAAGUUGCGCCCGAAGCCGUCAGGCCGAGGGCACGCCUGCCUGGGCGUCACACGCCGUUGCCCCCCCGCGCCCCGCACCCAACUCUUUGGGAGCGACCGCGGGGCGGGCUGAUGAUGGCCUCCCGUGCGCUCCGCCGCGCGGUUGGCCCAAAUACCGAGUCCCCGGCGACGUGCGCCACGACGAUCGGUGGUUGAGAGACCUCUGUCGCAAGUCGUGCGCGCCCGUCGCGUCACGCGGGCUCGCAUAGCGCCUCGCGCCGCACCCGGUGCGGAGCUUUCAACGCGACCCCAGGUCAGGCGGGGUUACCCGCUGAAUUUAAGCAUAUAAAUAAGCGGAGGA
rnacentral:misc_RNA from 1 species